rnacentral:misc_RNA from 1 species
UGACCAAUCACGCAAGUGGUAUUGGGGCUUGCCAUCGGCAUCCCUUAAAACUAGUGGCAGUGCUAUAGGCUCUCAGCGCAGUAAUUAUUUCGCUCUUGAGUCCUAGAAACACCCGCCAAAACCCCAACUUUUUUUAGG